UACCUGCAGCUUCAUGAGAUUGGAGAGCGCCUUUUUAGCAGCGGUCCUGUUGCAAGACACUCUUCUCAGUGGGAGAAACUGAGGAGAGACUGCCUUCAGAGCUGUUUCCUAACUGCUGUGCUUUCGGAGCUUGAUCAUUUCAACAGUUUAUGCUUGGACGAUAAUGGAAGGAAUCUUGCAACUGGCAUUUCCACAAGAAAUGGGAGAGAAAUUGCGAAGUCUCUUCAAAGGGGUAGAUCUACUACAGGCAAAUACAAUCUAAAAUGUGCGACCCAAUUGUGAUGCGGCAAAGAUCACCGCUGCCAGACAUAGCAAGACAAAGGUGCCUACAAUUCACUGGCGAGAUCCUUCUGCUCAUUCAUCCCGGAUCUUCAGUCCGAAUCUGAUGAAAGAAGCCAGAUGCGAAUGGCUGUAACAAAAUUUCAGUUUCUUUUUUGCCCAGUUAUCAAGAGCAAUUGAAACCUACCAGUUCCAUUGACAAAAGCUUUAAUGCAGACCUUAACCCUGAAGGGUGUUAACUACGCUUUGAAAAAUGCAGCUUUGGCUCUUGCCUUUGGUAACCAUACAACUCUUUCCCCAUGGAUCAUGUUGAAGUGACACUUGCCAAACUUAUCGAAGGUACUUUUGACGCUGUAGCUUGGAAUUUUGCAUUUUCACAGCGAAACCUGAAAUCGGAGAAAUGUUUUAAGACCAGGCAAAAGUUUUAAGACGGAGCCCUCUGGGAAACUGGUACCUUUGUAACAAGCAAUGUUUUGUAAAAUGUUGCAUGUUUUCUAAUCUAUUUUGUGUUUGUACAGAUGUAAAUUCAAAACCUCAUGUCCUUGGGUACAUAUUUUCAGCAUAAUAUAGUAUGUAUAAUAAAGUUCAGAUUUUUCUAAU